CAUAAGGAGCACUCUCUUACGGGCCAGAACAAGAGGAGAAGUUUGAGCUGAAGGUGUGCAGGGAUCUGGGAUCUUGAAUGACACUGAGAGGGCUCAAGAAAUACUCAGAUGUGGCGCUGACUCAUGGCUACGAGCCGGCAGAGAAAUCCAAUAGUGUGGAAAUUAAGCACGGAGGUCCAGAGGAGGGUGUUGAAUUGCCCGAGUCCAGGGCCAAAGGAAAUAAGUAAAACGAAGCAAAAGCAGAGAGAAGGGAUCACAAUAUAAAAGCUCAACAAAGGCUUAUCUGCUGACCUUUCGAUAGAGGCAGCGCUGCUCUUGAAUGCGGGAAUCAAUCGCAGGCUGAGCCAGGUGAGAGAUGACAAAGAUGCUUCCACCUCCGCGCAGGGCUGGAGAGAAAAAGUGAAACAUCUGAGCUCCUGAAGGGCUGUGACUCGAAGAAAAAUAAACUUUUAUUUAUUCUCCCUCAAGCUCUCGACACAAGCUGAACUUUUCUUGUUUUCUCUCUAGUUGCAGAUUUGCCAGCUAAAAUACAUUUCUGCCGGCUCCCCACCCACAGAACUGUGCCUACUGGAUGUGAAAUGCAGCCUAGGAAUUCC